ensembl:lncRNA LOC120097574 uncharacterized LOC120097574
AGAAAAGAGUUGUCUCCAGCGCGAGCUUCUGCCCUUCCCAAGAGGGAAGCUGACUCCGGCACCUUGGGACAUGGACGUCUCAGAACAUUCAUUUCAAUCAGAGGAUCCAGUGCAAACUUUCCCAUGAGCAGCUUCCAGCAUGAGUGCCCGCCAUCGGCUCUGCCAGCAGACAGUGUUUUCUGUAUAAGAGAUCACAGCUGACCCAUCCCCUAGACUAGACUUACAAUCUUUCCAAAGAUGUCAUCAGUCUCCUCUUUCGUUCCAAAUGGAUGAAACCAUAGACGGACUGCUAACCAGAGCAGUUUCAGCCACAGAGAUCUAAGCUAACAUUCUCCAUAUGACCGAAUUGAGCAUGAAGAAAAGGAAUGCGUCAGUGAGGUACCAAUGCUGGGCCGUGUGUGUUCAUAAGAAUGAGAGGAGGUUUCAGUCCGCGUGCUGAUUUUUCUGUUUCUUUUUUAUUAUCCUUGGUCACCGUCAGAGUAAUGCAUGGUAC